UACGUAGGGUGCAAGCGUUGUCCGGAAUUAUUGGGCGUAAAGAGCUCGUAGGCGGCCUGUCGCGUCGGCUGUGAAAACCCGGGGCUCAACCCCGGGCCUGCAGUCGAUACGGGCAGGCUAGAGUCCGGCAGGGGAGACUGGAAUUCCUGGUGUAGCGGUGAAAUGCGCAGAUAUCAGGAGGAACACCGGUGGCGAAGGCGGGUCUCUGGGGCCGGAACUGACGCUGAGGAGCGAAAGCGUGGGGAGCGAACAGG
rnacentral:rRNA from 1 species